GCUGGGGAUAUAGCUCAGUUGGUAGAGUGCUUGCCUUGAAUGCACAAGGCCCUGGGUUCAAUCCCCAGCNCCUCAGCA
rnacentral:tRNA from 1 species